UGGCUCAGCGGUUAAGAGCACUGGCUGUUAUCUCGGAGACCUGGGUUCAAUUCCCAG
rnacentral:tRNA from 1 species